CCGCCUCCCAUGGGGACCCGGCCUGAGGAGCAGGGGAGGGAGCUUCGAGACUAAGGCCGUGCGAGAACAUCUGGUGUGUUCUAGCUUCCCUGAACAUGGUGAGCAACAGCUGCCUCCCCACAGCACCUCUGGGAUCCUCUGACAAGCCAGAUCCAUGCCUGGCUCAAGAAUGGCUUCCCUGCAGGUACCUGACCUGGGAGGGACAUGGCUACUGGGCAGUACAAGACGCGGACUCUCCUCCUUCAGGGUUCUGGAUGCUCACCUAUGGAACCCAGCCACCAUUUUGUGAGGAAGCCCAGGACACAUGAAGAGACCACAGGCUGAUUUUCUGGCUGACAGCCCCAGCUAAGGUUCCAGCCCACGGCUAGUAUUAAUAACCAGUCAUGUAAAUGAAGAGGCCUUCAGGUGACUCCAGUCUCAGCCUUUGAGCUGUACUAGCUGGUGCUGAGACGAACUGUUUCCAUUGAUCCCUGUCCAAAUUGCAGAUUCAUGAGCAAAAUAAAUGUGGAUGCUGUUUUAACCCACCGGGUUUUAGCAUA